GAUGGGGGAUAACGGGUCGAAAGACUCGCUAAUACCGCAUAUGACGAAAGUUGAAAGGAGUAAUCGUCUAAAGAUGAGCCCGCGUCCGAUUAGCUAGUUGGUAGAGUAAAAAGCCUACCAAGGCGACGAUCGGUAGCUGGUCUGAGAGGAUGAUCAGCCACAAUGGGACUGAGACACGGCCCAUACUCCUACGGGAGGGCAGCAGUGGGGAAUUUUACGCAAUGGGCGAAAGCCUGACGUAGCGACACCGCGUGAGCGAAGAACGCCCCUUGGGGUGUAAAGCUCUGUCAGCUGGAACGAAAAAAUGACGGUACCAGCAGAGGAAGCAUCGGCUAACUACGUG
rnacentral:rRNA from 1 species